GGGGUUGUAGUUCAGUGGUAGAGCACUUGCCUCGCAUGCGUGAGGCACUGAGUUCAAUUCUCAGCACCG
rnacentral:tRNA from 1 species